ACGGCCCCCUAUUCCUACGGGAAGCAGCAGUGAGGAAUUUUUCACAAUGGACGAAAGUCUGAUGGAGCAAUACCACGUGAACGAUGAAGGUCUUCUGAUUGUAAAGUUCUUUUAUUUAGGAAAAAAAGCGCGCUAGGAAAUGAGCGCGCCUUGAUGGUACUAAUUGAAUAAGUGACAGCUAACUAUGUGCCAGCAGCUGCGGUAAAACAUAGGUCACAAGCAUUAUCCGGAUUUAUUGGGCGUAAAGGAAGCGUAGGCGGGGAGGCUGAUCCAUUGUUAAAGGCAUUUGCUCAACAAAUGUGUGCGAUGGAGAUCUCCUCCCUAGAGUUAAUCAGGGGGUACUGGAAUUCAAUGUGUAGCGGUGGAAUGCGUAGAUAUAUUGAGGAACACCAGAGGCUAAGGCGAGUACCUGGGAUAUAACUGACGCUGAGGCUUGAAAGCGUGGGGAGCAAAUGGGAUUAGAUACCCCAGUAGUCCACGCCGUAAACGAUGAGCAUUAGGUAUUUGAUGUUAGGUCGAGUGCUGUAGCUAACGCGUUAAAUGCUCCGCCUGGGUAGUAUAUAUGCAAAUAUGAAACUCAAAGAAAUUGACGGGGACCUGAACAAGUGGUGGAGCA
rnacentral:rRNA from 1 species